AUGAAGUUUAGUGAAACCCGAUUUUACAUAGUUUGCAAAAAUACUUAUGAAUUGUAAAGUUCAAACACUUGUAAUCGCAAGUUUUUAGUGAAACAGGCCUCAGAAGAGCUUCCGCUUCAUCAUUGCCGCUCUGGCGCUGGUGGCCGCCGCCGACCGGCCGGCGUACCCGACCCCGGCCUACGGCCCCCGGCCCGCCUACCCGGCCCCGGCUCACGGCAGCUACAAGCCCAUCGCCAUCCUCGAGGAGGAGAGCGUCCACCCCGGAGAUGGCACCUACAACUUCCACUUCAGCACCGAGAACGGCAUCUACAGGUCUGAGAACGGCGUGCCUCUGCCCGGCUACGGCAAGAACGCCUACGGACAGCCCGAGGGCAGCUACCGCCAGGAGGGCUCCUGGAGCUACACCGACGGAUACGGAAACCCCGUCAAGGUGACAUUUGUCGCCGACGACAACGGCUACCAGCCGUCCAGCGACAUCCUGCCCACCCCGGUGCCCACCGAGUACCCGACCCCCGAGGUGGACACCGCCUACGUCGAGCCUGCCUACGGCAAGCCCGCCUACCAGCCCGCCUACAACUAAGGUCACCCAUGGAGUACAAUAGUAGUGAUUCAUUUAUUGUAUUUAUUUGAUGUUUGUGUGUAAUUUAUGCAUUCAUCAUUGUCCACGUCAUGAACAAAAUAAACGUUUCAAUGAUUGUAUUA
rnacentral:misc_RNA from 1 species